GACGAACGCUGGCGGCGUGCUUAACACAUGCAAGUCGAACGAAGUGGCGAACGGGUGCGUAAUACGUGAGUAACCUGCCAUCCUUUUUGGGAUAAGCCUUGGAAACGGGGUCUAAUACCGAAUAAAGGGGGAUGGGCUCGCGGCCUAUCAGCUUGUUGGUGGGGUGAUGGACUACCAAGGCGGUGACGGGUAGCCGGCCUGAGAGGGUGACAUGCUACAUCAGGACUGGGAGACGGCCCAGACUCCUACGGGAGGCAGCAGUGGGGGAGAGAGCACAAAUGUAGACAGGCUGAUGCGGCGGCACCGUCUGAUGGAUGUAAGAUAUAGGGUGGUAAAUCUCUGUCGCGAUCGACGGGGUAGGUGUAGAAGAAGCGCCGGCUAAGUUCGUCACAGCAGCCGCGGUAAUUC
rnacentral:rRNA from 1 species